AGUGAACGCUGGCGGUAGGCCUAACACAUGCAAGUCGAACGGCAGCACAGUAAGAGCUUGCUCUUACGGGUGGCGAGUGGCGGACGGGUGAGGAAUACAUCGGAAUCUACUUUUUCGUGGGGGAUAACGUAGGGAAACUUACGCUAAUACCGCAUACGACCUACGGGUGAAAGCAGGGGAUCUUCGGACCUUGCGCGAUUGAAUGAGCCGAUGUCGGAUUAGCUAGUUGGCGGGGUAAAGGCCCAGCAAGGCGACGAUCCGUAGCUGGUCUGAGAGGAUGAUCGGCCACACUGGAACGGGGACACGGUCCAGACUCCUACGGGAGGCAGCAGUGGGGAAUAUUGGACAAUGGGCGCAAGCCUGAUCCAGCCAUACCGCGUGGGUGAAGAAGGCCUUCGGGUUGUAAAGCCCUUUUGUUGGGAAAGAAAAGCAGCAGGUUAAUACCCCGCUGUUCUGACGGUACCCAAAGAAUAAGCACCGGCUAACUUCGUG
rnacentral:rRNA from 1 species